rnacentral:rRNA from 1 species
UACGGAGGUUCCUAGCGUUGUUCGGAAUUACUGGGCGUAAAGGGAGCGCAGGCGGAUUGAUAAGUCUAAAGUGGAAUCCCGGGGCUCAACCUCGGACGUGCUUUGGAUACUGUCGGUCUUGAGUUCGUGAGAGGAAGGCGGAAUUCAGGGUGUAGCGGUGAAAUGCUUAGAUAUCCUGAGGAACACCAGUGGCGAAAGCGGCCUUCUGGCACGGAACUGACGCUGAGGCUCGAAGGCCAGGGGAGCAAACGGG